AACGUAGGUGGCGAGCGUUAUCCGGAUUUAUUGGGCCUAAAGCAUCCGUAGCCGGUUCUACAAGUCUUCCGUUAAAUCCACCUGCUUAACAGAUGGGCUGCGGAAGAUACUAUAGAGCUAGGAGGCGGGAGAGGCAAGCGGUACUCGAUGGGUAGGGGUAAAAUCCGUUGAUCCAUUGAAGACCACCAGUGGCGAAGGCGGCUUGCCAGAACGCGCUCGACGGUGAGGGAUGAAAGCUGGGGGAGCAAACCGG
rnacentral:rRNA from 1 species